AGGCGGUGGACAAUCACUCAAUUAAGUUAUUGUGAUUGGCUAGGAACAACGAGUUCCUUAUGUAUUUCCUGAUAAUUCCAUUUAUACCUUGGACAUCUAAUUUCAUCCCAUGGUGAAAUUAAUACAUUGUUUAAUACCUACUAUUUGUGUUCUGUUUCUAUCAAUGGCUGAGGGUUUCUACCCUUAUUAUAUUAUGCCACGCAUAAUUUGGAAACUUAAUUGCCAUGUUUCUUUGAUUCUGUUAAUAGGAUGUGGGAUGUCUAUCAAACCUUUUGGACUUUGCUUUGAAGUUUUCGUUGAGUUUCUCAUCAAGGCCUCCACAAAUGUUUGUGCCACACCAGAAGAUAUUGUUAUCCGUAAUGCAUGGGCUUCAUUGGAUGCAGUAUUUUCUGUAGAACACGUGGAUUUUCUGGUAUUGCUCAUGAUGUGUGCACUGAACUUGACAAUAAGUUUGAUGAUAGCUUUAUGGACUGUGUGGACUUAACUAUGGAUUCUGCUAUUAUUGGUGAGGAUGAUCCAACACAGUGAUUGGCUUGCAGAAUCAGACAAAAAGAAUGCUGCAGAGACAAAGGCAGCCCUGGUGGAGGCAAAACAAGGUAUUAAUGAUUCUCAAGAAGCCUGGAAUAUACUGAAUCAACAAGAAAUGCAUGAGGAUCUAUGGGUGCUGCAAGAAGGAAUUUUGAACGGGCAAACCCAAUAGAGAUACAUGGAGAAGUCGUGAGAAUAAACCCUAGCGAUGUCCUUUCAUCUCUAAAUAGAGAGUGCUUGAGAGAAAAGUUUUAUCCCUUACACCAUUAUGAGCUAGUGAGUGGGAAGUAGAAGACAUCGGGGAAUCAAGGUGUGGUGGAGGCUGCAUCAAGGAAGAGAAGGCUUCUUGGGCAGGUUUAGGACAUUACAGAAUGCUAGGAAUUUUCCAUUGGAAUCCAGGCCGACUUAGGUGUAAAGACAAGGACUCAACUUAUGGCUGAGAAGUUUGUUUUUAAAAUCCUUUUGAUGACUGUCAUUGCUGCCAAUAUUGAGAGAUAUCUCACAGAUCCCACAGGAGGUGAUUUAAUUUAUUCUUAAACGACAUUGAAUAAAUAGAGUUUUGGUCAUUCACCAUCUAGGACUACUAUUUUUUUUUUUUAAUUUUUGCAGAAGCUCAAACUUGAAAUGUCUGCCUAGAACUUAAUUACAGAGGAAAUUAAAAUUAUGUUUCAGUAUCAAAGAUCAAAGUUUUGUAAUUUGUUUCAUUGUUCCUUGGAGUUGGUUUUUUCCAACAUGCUUUUGGAAUUAUUUUUCAGUUUUCAUGCAUAAUUUUUAAUACCCAUUUCGAUUUCUUGCAUACUUUAAGUAUCUUUUACCAAUUCAAUACCAUUAGAUUCAUUCCAUAUUUGCAUAUAGUCUGUUUGCAUCAGAUUUCACUCAAUGAAGUGCAUAAAAAAUCUGAUAUCAUAGUUAAAUCCAUAAUGCUGUCAUUGAUAGAUUUAGAAGUGAUUCAUGAUUUUGUGCAUAGCAUCCAUGUUUGGCAUACAAUCUUCAUAUAUUCUAGCAUUGUUUGGUACUCGUUCAAUUUGAUCAUUCCAUCUGCAGUUUAUCUCCAUUCAUAGUAUUCUUUUUCUUGUUUUGUUUUUUUAUUUUUCAUUCUGCAUACGACAGCAUUGUGGAUAGAAUUUAGGUUGAAUCUUCAUAUCUGCAUCAGGUUUUGUAAAACUGUAAAAAUUCAGGCUUCAGCGGUAGGUAUUUGGCCAUGCAUACAUUCAUUAUUUUUACUUGUAUUAUUCAUUCAUAAAUAUCACUUUAAACUUGUUCCCAUCACUGAAUGUAUAUUUUCUACAUUAGCCUGUGAUUAGACUGUCUACAUAGGUUCUAGAGGUUCAAUCAUUUAGGGUCUCAAUAUUGAGAUCUUGCAAGCUAACAGUGAUUGGAUUUGCCUGAUUUCAGCAAUUAUUAUGAGCUCUUAGAGCAUUUAAGUUGCUUAAGUCAGUUUUGAGUAGGUAUGGCUCACAUCACACUUUAAUAGAGAUUCUUUUUUCUCUAGCGUGUUUACAAGUUUCUGAAACUCUACCCAAUUAAGCUGUCCCAACUCAUGGGCUCUCUAUUGCUAAAACUAGUUAAGUGCAGCUGCGAGUUGUUGUAGUUACUUUCAGUACGUGUCACAGUGAUUAAAAAACUAGAAAUCAUCCCAUUAUCCCCAUGGGUCUGCGCUCUGAUCUAGAAUCCAUUAUUGAUUACUGAGUUAUUCUUUAUGCAUUCUAGUGUAUAAUUUUUAAAUGUCAUCCAUUAAUUAAUAGUUUUCAUAAUAUACUGCAGAUGAAUGAAAAAACUUUCUUGCUAGAAUUGGCCGUGAUGAAAAUUCCCUUGAGAGUGAACUUUAUGAUAAUCCUAGUGAUAUUCUUGAAUUGCGAUUUUGGGCUUCAUAUAGGGGGCAAACAUUGGCCACAACGUGUUUUACUAAUCAACUUGAUUUUUCCUUUGUGUUUUAUUGUUUUACUAGUCCAAACAUGAUUAUUUGGGAUGAAAGAUUGUAUUAUAUAUAAAUUAUUUUAAAUAUUGGAUCAAUUACUAUCUUGUGAAUUAUAAUAAGUUAAUUUUUGUGAUUUGGAUGAUUAGAAGUGUAAGUAAGUUGUUGUAAUGCUAACUUCAGUUUUUCAGAUGGUUGAAUUAUGGUUCUUUUUGAAUUUGGGUAUUUCAACGCGUUUCAUGGUUGUAAGACCUGUUGUAGUGGUUAGUUGCUGUAAGUAACCAAAGUUAGUGGUUUACUGAUUUUACACUAGUACUUUUCGGUCAAACGGUGUUGACUACAAUCUGUGUAUUUGAUGUAAGGUUUGCGACCAACUGCGUUCAUUACCAUUGGUUCCAAUUCAAGAGAGUAAUACUGUGAUAAAAUUCUGCAGUUUUAAUAAUUGUUGAAAGUUAUUUUCUUUAGUACUCUAGUUGUUGCNAUAAAUUAAUUAGAAGUGCUAUGAACCUGAUUUAAUUGUAUUUAGUGGUGCUGGAAAUUUAGAGUAUUGUGUUGAGUUUGAAACAUCUGAAACUUAUUAUGUCCACUUAAUUAUGAUAAAGAUUACUGAAUUAAGUAAUUUUGUAUUCUGAUUGUUCUGGUGCUUGAUAAAAUAUAAUAGGAUAUUAGUUUGGAAUGUAUCGGGUGAUAUUGAUGAAUGAAUGACUGCAACUAGACUUUGGCCUUGUUAAUUUGUUGCCAUCUUAUGUAAAGAAAAAAAAUCUGAUGUUAAUGAGUAACCUGGAUUUUAGAAUGACUCUAAUGGUAUAUGAAAUAUUUAUAUAUAAUGCAGUUUUUGGAUCUGUUUAUUGAUAUUUAUGGUUGUUUGGAAUGAAAAUAUAUUAUGGAAAAACAUACUCUAAAUUGUUUUAUUGAAAAUCUACCUUUUGAUAGAAUCCUAUGAAGUUUAGUAAUCCCUGUAAUCACCAUGGUAGCAUUGAUUAUUCUCUGGUUACGUAGAUAUAUGUAUGUGAUGGAUGUAUAUAAAGUUAAUAAAAUUGUAAAACUUGUUAUUCUUAUCCGGUUAUUUUCUGGGUUGUCUCCUGGAAUGAACCUUAGGUAGGUGUGGAGUUGAUAAAUAUUAUGUUAAAAGCUGUUAAAGAUCAGUGAUGAUCGAAGUGUAUCAUUUGCAUAAUGAAUGUGGUCUGGCUUGUGAGGUUUCUAGUGCAAGUUAUGUUACGUUAUAUAAAGUGUUAGGAUGAUUGGAAAUGUUUAGAGAAUUUGUUACAUUAUUGUCAUGAGUGAUAACUAGAAAUGACUGGGAAUGGUUGCAGGAAGACACUCUAGAAACGUUAUCAUGUCUGAAAAUGUGUUUCUAAAUGGAAAAAAGAGGAGAUUGGACUAUGGUGCUGCUGUAAGUAUGCCUAUAAAUGGCAAAAGAAAAAUUCAUUCUUUUAUAUUUCACUGCUAAUUAAUGAGAUAUGUUUACACACGAAACAUGCUUAUGUGACCCAAGAAGAGGCAAUGCUGGGAACUCUGACAGUGAGAGAGACAAUAUAUUACUCAACAAAUCUAAGGCUUCCAGGGCAUUAGGAGAGAAGAGGUGAAUUAGAUUACACACACUAAUUCUCACUAACAACAAAAUUGUAAACUUGGUAGAAACUGACCCUUUAUCAGGAAGAAAGCAAAUUAUAGGCUUUAUGAUAUUAACAAACUGAAAUCCCUCCGAGUUUUAGAUUUCAAGAAAGUAAAAAAUAAGGUAAUGUAUUUUUUACACUACCCAUACUAUUUUUAUUUUUAUCGGGCUUGUUAUUUGAAAUACCAAAGAUAGGAUGUUCUAGUAAUGUCUGCAAGGUUUUAGAUAAUUUUUCCACAACCCAUACUAAUUUUUAUCGGGCUUGUAUUUGAAACAGUAAAAGUCCUAAGCAAAUAGACACACUCUAAUAAAUGCUAAUCUUGGUUACCCGUGGUUUGACGUGUUGUUGGUUUAUGUAGCUGCCAUUGUGAAUUCUCAGACUCUUGAGGAGGUUGCUAGACUUGAAAAGGCAUUGAAGUCUAGCCAGCUUUCUGCAGAUAUAGAAGGCUUGAAUGAUAAUAUAGUGUUGGAUAACGUUACUGAAAAACCUGAAGAUAUGAUUCAUGAUGAUAGAGGUCCAGCUGAUGUUGAAUCCAAUGGUACACAAGAGCAGACAAAUACUGAUUCUACUUCAAUGGAACAGGCGAGGAUGUCAAGGCUGUUCAAGGAACCUGGAACACACAGAAUCAACAACAACUAAAUGGGGAGUCUUGGAUGCUGCAGCAAGGUGCUUGGAGAGUGCAGAACCAGCUGCUAGCCUUCAAAGCAGCCAUGGAUACACUGCUGAAGAGAGUGGCUAAGCACAAUAGACUAAAACCAAUAAGCCAAUUCUCUUCCUUUUUCUCCAAUUAUAGUUAUAGGUUUUUUCUGAUAGUUAGAGUAGUCCUAGUAAGUAUAGUAAAUAGUAGAGUACAACAUAUGAUGUUUUAUAUAAAAAUAAAAAGAAUCAAUUUUGAUCUAUAGCCAAUUUGAACAAGUUUUCUUUUUCUUUUUAGCUCUGUAGUUUUAGCUUUAGGUCUUGCUUCUGUUAACAAUGCAUACCUAGGCAGAGCAUGGAGAAAAACAGAUAAGCUCAUUCUUUUCAUUUCCUUUUAGUUGUAGUUAUAGAUUUUUAUUAGUAAUGUACAUAACUUUAACUAGCAUAGUAAAUAGUAGGAUAGAUAAUAUGCUUUUUUAAUAAAAAUAAACAGAAUUAAUUUUGAUCUAUGGCCAAUUUAAUCUGAUUUUUCUUUAUUUUAUCUUGUCUCUAUUUAUUUAUGCAUCUACUAAUUGUAUGAAAUUAUCCCUGGUGAUCAAUGAUUGUAUUGGUUUUGCGUGGCCAUUGCUUCUCAACAAGCUGAUCCAGUUUCUUCAACAAGGUCUUGAUAACAAUUUUGAUUAUAGUUUGAUGGACUAUACUGACUUGAUAGAGAUUGUGGUAAGGUCAUUUUUGAGGAGAUAAUACAGGUUGAAUCUAAACUUAAACUCCCUAUUGGUUUAGCUGAGAUGCAAACUAGUGUAGAUAUUCUUUUGCAUGCUGAACCUGUAAUUGAUUUCUGUGAUAUUGUGUCUGGUCAUUCUGUGAUCCUGGAUAAAAUUUUUGUUGUGGACCAGAUUAAAACAAAUGAUAUUAGAUGCUCUAAUUCUGAUAUAUAUGUUCUUAAUGAUGUGCUGGAUGAUUCUGCUUUUACUUGUGAUAAUUCUGAAAUGUUUGAUGAUUCAUUUAUACAUUUUGAUAGUGCAGAACUAGCCGAUCCCAACCCUGAAUAGAGAGUUGCAGUUGCUGUAGCAAGGAGCUGGAGAGGAGCAAUUCAAUGUAAAUUUGGAACCCUUACACAGCGGAGCUGAGAAUGGAACAAAACCAAUAAGCCUUUUCUUUCACUUUCCCUUUAAUUAUAGUUAUAGAUUUUUUCUAUUAGCUUGCCUAGUCAUAGAUAGCAUAGUAAAUAAUAGGAUAGAACAUAUGUUGUUUUUUAUAAAAUUUAAGAAAAUCAAUUUUGAUUUGUGGCCGAUUUGAAUAAGUUUUUUUUUUCUUAUUAUAUUGCUUUGCAGUUUUAGUUUUCUUUUUCCAUUUAUGUUCUUGUAGAUGUUGCGUUCUAUUGCAUUUUCCUUCCUGUUCGUAUACAUUUUAAACUCUUGUGUUCAGUCUUCUUAGUUCUAUUCUGUUCUAUAUUUUAUUGAUUAGUUUUGUCCUCUUUUAGUUCUUCCUUUUAUAAAUACAUGUGUAAUCCUGGUUUGAUCAUAUCUGUUUUGUCUGUGCUGAUUAGGAAACCUUACUCACUCACACA